rnacentral:pre_miRNA from 1 species
UCUUUUGUCAGCUUUUGGAUUCAAAAUGGUUGCAUUGCUGAGCCAAUAGCAAACAAGGGAGC